rnacentral:rRNA from 1 species
GAUGAACGCUGGCGGCGUGCCUAAUACAUGCAAGUCGAGCGAACGGACGAGAAGCUUGCUUCUCUGAUGUUAGCGGCGGACGGGUGAGUAACACGUGGAUAACCUACCUAUAAGACUGGGAUAACUUCGGGAAACCGGAGCUAAUACCGGAUAAUAUUUUGAACCGCAUGGUUCAAAAGUGAAAGACGGUCUUGCUGUCACUUAUAGAUGGAUCCGCGCUGCAUUAGCUAGUUGGUAAGGUAACGGCUUACCAAGGCAACGAUGCAUAGCCGACCUGAGCGGGUGAUCGGCCACACUGUAACUGCGACACGGUCCAGACUCCUACGGGAGGCAGCAGUAGGGAAUCUUCCGCAAUGGGCGAAAGCCUGACGGAGCAACGCCGCGUGAGUGAUGAAGGUCUUCGGAUCGUAAAACUCUGUUAUUAGGGAAGAACAUAUGUGUAAGUAACUGUGCACAUCUUGACGGUACCUAAUCAGAAGGCCACGGCUAACUACGUG